rnacentral:rRNA from 1 species
UACGUAGGGUCCGAGCGUUGUCCGGAAUUACUGGGCGUAAAGAGCUCGUAGGUGGUUUGUCGCGUUGUUCGUGAAAACUCACAGCUUAACUGUGGGCGUGCGGGCGAUACGGGCAGACUUGAGUACUGCAGGGGAGACUGGAAUUCCUGGUGUAGCGGUGAAAUGCGCAGAUAUCAGGAGGAACACCGGUGGCGAAGGCGGGUCUCUGGGCCGAUAUUGACGCUGAGGAGCGAAAGCGUGGGGAGCGAACAGG